rnacentral:rRNA from 1 species
UUGAACGCUGGCGGAAUGCUUUACACAUGCAAGUCGAGCGGCAGCGGCGGGGCAACCUGGCGGCGAGCGGCGAACGGGUGAGUAAUGCAUCGGAACAUGUCCAUGUCGUGGGGGAUAGCCCGGCGAAAGCCGGAUUAAUAACCGCAUACGCCCGAGAGGGGAAAGUGGGGGACCGCAAGGCCUCACGCGAUUGGGUUUGGCCGAUGUUCCGAUUAGCUAGUUGGUGGGGUAAAGGCUCACCAAGGCGAUGAUCGGUAGCUGGUCUGAGAGGAUGAUCAGCCACACUGGGACUGAGACACGGCCCAGACUCCUACGGGAGGCAGCAGUGGGGAAUUUUUGGACAAUGGGGGCAACCCUGAUCCAGCCAUUCCGCGUGAGUGAAGAAGGCCUUCGGGUUGUAAAGCUCUUUUGUCCGGAACGAAACGGGUGCGGCUAAUACUCGCGCCUACUGACGGUACCGGAAGAAUAAGCACCGGCUAACUACGUGCCAGCAGCCGCCGGUAAUACGUAGGGUGCGAGCGUUAAUCGGAAUUACUGGGCGUAAAGCGUGCGCGCAGGCGGUUUUGUAAGCCAGAUGUGAAAUCCCCGGGCUCAACCUGGGAAUGGCAUUUGGGACUUGCAAGGCUGGAGUGCGGCAGAGGAGACUGGAAUUCCUGGUUGUAGCAGUGAAAUGCGUAGAUAUCAGGAGGAAUACCGAUGGCGAAGGCAGGUCUCUGGGCUGACAACUGACGCUCAUGCACGAAAGCGUGGGGAGGCAAACAGGAUUAGAUACCCUGGUAGUCCACGCCCCUAAAACGAUUGUCGACUGGUUGUUGGGGGUUUGACACUCUCAGUAACGAAGCUAACGCGUGAAGUCGACCGCCUGGGGAGUACGGCCGCAAGGUUUAAAAACUCAAAGGAAUUGACGGGGACCCGCACAAGCGGUGGAUUAUGUGGAUUAAUUCGAUGCAACGCGAAAAAACCUUACCUACCCUUGACAUGUCCGGAAGGCUUGAGAGAUCAGGCUGUGCCCGAAAGGGAACCGGAACACAGGUGCUGCAUGGCUGUCGUCAGCUCGUGUCGUGAGAUGUUGGGGUUAAGUCCCGCAACGAGCGCAACCCUUGUCAUUAGUUGCUACAUUCAGUUGGGCACUCUAAUGAGACUGCCGGUGACAAAACCGGAGGAAGGUGGGGGAUGACGUCAAGUCCUCAUGGCCCUUAUGGGUAGGGCUUCACACGUAAUACAAAUGGCGCGUACAGAGGGUUGCCCAAGGGGUGACCUGGAGCCAAUCCCGCAAAGCGCGUCGUAGUCCGGAUUGCAGGUCUGCAACUCGACUGCAUGAAGUCGGAAUCGCUAGUAAUCGCGGAUCAGCAUGUCGCGGUGAAUACGUUCCCGGGUCUUGUACACACCGCCCGUCACACCAUGGGAGUGGGUUUCACCAGAAGCCGGUCGCCUAACCGCAAGGGGGGCGCCGACCACGGUGAGAUUCAUGACUGGGGUG